rnacentral:rRNA from 1 species
CCUACGGGAGGCAGCAGUGAGGAAUAUUGGUCAAUGGUCGGGAGACUGAACCAGCCAAGCCGCGUGAGGGAUGAAGGUACAGAGUAUCGUAAACCUCUUUUGUCAGGGAACAAAGGCGGGGACGUGUCCCCGGAUGAGUGUACCUGAAGAAAAAGCAUCGGCUAACUCCGUGCCAGCAGCCGCGGUAAUACGGGGGAUGCGAGCGUUAUCCGGAUUUAUUGGGUUUAAAGGGUGCGCAGGCGGUCUGUUAAGUCAGCGGUAAAAGCCCGGGGCUCAACCCCGGCCCGCCGUUGAAACUGGCAGUCUCGAGUUGGAGAGAAGUAUGCGGAAUGCGCGGUGUAGCGGUGAAAUGCAUAGAUAUCGCGCAGAACUCCGAUUGCGAAGGCAGCAUGCCGGCUCCACACUGACGCUGAGGCACGAAAGCGUGGGUAUCGAACAGGAUUAGAUACCCUAGUAGUC